UACGUAGGGUGCAAGCGUUGUCCGGAAUUAUUGGGCGUAAAGAGCUCGUAGGCGGUCUGUUGCGUCGGCUGUGAAAACCCGAGGCUCAACCUCGGGCCUGCAGCCGAUACGGGCAGACUAGAGUUCGGCAGGGGAGACUGGAAUUCCUGGUGUAGCGGUGAAAUGCGCAGAUAUCAGGAGGAAGACCAGUGGCGAAGGCGGGUCUCUGGACAGUUCCUGACACUGAGACACGAAGGCCAGGGGAGCAAACGGG
rnacentral:rRNA from 1 species